GACGAACGCUGGCGGCGUGCUUAACACAUGCAAGUCGAACGGAAAGGCCCUGCUUGCAGGGUACUCGAGUGGCGAACGGGUGAGUAACACGCGGGUGAUCUGCCCUGCACUUCGGGAUAAGCCUGGGAAACUGGGUCUAAUACCGGAUAGGAGCCAUUCUUAGUGUGAUGGUUGGAAAGUUUUUUCGGUGUAGGAUGAGCUCGCGGCCUAUUAGCUUGUUGGUGGGGUAAUGGCCUACCAAGGCGGCGACGGGUAGCCGGCCUGGGAGGGUGGACGGCCACAUUGGGGCUGGGGUACGGCCCAGACUCCUACGGGGGGCAGCAGGGGGGAAUAUUGCACAAUGGGCGCAAGCCUGAUGCAGCGACGCCGCGGGGGGGAUGACGGCCUUCGGGUUGUAAACUCCUUUCGCUAGGGACGAAGCUUUUUGUGACGGUACCUAGAUAAGAAGCACCGGCUAACUACGUG
rnacentral:rRNA from 1 species